rnacentral:misc_RNA from 1 species
CAGUUAUUUACGCUUUAAAGAUGUCAAAUUAGACAUUUAUAAAUUCACACAAUGAUAUCGAUAACAAAUUCAAAAACAGCACGUUACAAUUAAAUUAAACAAUCCAAAAAGACGCAACAUUUAACUAACACAGCAAUGCAACCAACCCAACAAAAUCAUCACAAGAAGUGCAACAAAGAUCACAUAUAUACAACAGUAAAGACUAGAGCUAAUGCUUUAUCCUGAUCUUUUUAACGUGAUUAAAAUCACUAUUUUCAUGUUAUCGGUAAAUAUACCAGUA